GACCGCGUAACUCAGUUGGCAGAGCAUUGGGCUAGUAUUCCAAAGGUCGUAGGUUCGAUUCCCACCGUGGUCA
rnacentral:tRNA from 1 species